GUCCUGAAAGAGAAAAUAUCACUGUUUUACUUUUUCAUGGAGAAAACCAGUUUUUGCAAUUUGCUAUACCCUGGUGCUUGAAAUCACUUUGCUGGGUUCUAAGAAUAUAGCCACCUUUUCCAGUUUGUACCCAUUAGGCAGAUACAAAGGCAUUACAUGCUAAAGUCCAUACAAUAAAGCCAUAAUUGCCUCUCAUGGGGUGGACGAGUUGUUGGAAUAGAUGAGCGUGGAGAUCUUUGAUCACGAGUUCGAUUCCUCGUACCAACACUUUCUUGGUCGAACCUGUCGCACCGAGCUUACCUAGUGCGGUUUAUCUAGCUGGCGUGAUUUGCAGGCUAUUGCGUCAGUCCGAGGGUUUACCCAAUGCAAACCCGAAGGGUGGCGGUCGUGGGUUCCCCCUUAUUCAAAAAAAAUAAAUAAAUAAAAAAUAAAGUCAUAAUUUAAUGGACCUUAUAAAGAGGUACUCUUUUUACUAGAAUUGCUCAACUCUGCACUCAUAUAGCAUUCCCUAAACAAUUCAUUGUUUAUUUGAUUUUGGAAGUAUAUGGUUGCAACAUGUCAUAUACUUAUUGAAGAUAGUAGGUCAAAAAAAUCUCAUGGACCACUCAAUUUAUUACCUGAUGCAGAAAUAGUUUGGUAUGAAGGUAGGAAGAAUUGGUGCAGAUUCAUUUUGUUGAUUGAGGCCAUUUAUUAGUUAUAGAGAUGUAGGGUAUGCUUCAUGCUUGGCACGCAUAGUAUACAAGAUUAAAGAAGAUUAAGAAAGAUGGGUAUUCGAUAAAAUUUGACACUUGUACUGUUCAAUUAUAUCGGUACUGUGAUUAAGAAAUAGGAUGCAAAGCAUUAAAUUUCCUUACUUUCAUUCUUUUCUACAUUCGUGGCUGUGAAUUUGUAAUGGUUAAGGUGGUGGGUCUUGAGACCAACAAACCUAUUAUUUGAUGUGUGGAAACGAAGGCGUACAGUUGUUUGUCACAGCCCUACUAAUGGAUGAUGGAAUUGUUUCCUUGUGAUGUGAGUAAUCUUGAAUUUGUUAAUCAAACAGCCUGUCUGGUAUUUGAAAUUGAAACCAAUUAAUAUGUCGAUCAUUUUGAAGUUAGUUUUGCA
rnacentral:lncRNA from 1 species